GACGAACGCUGGCGGCGUGCUUAACACAUGCAAGUCGAACGGAAAGGCCCUGCUUUUGUGGGGUGCUCGAGUGGCGAACGGGUGAGUAACACGUGAGUAACCUGCCCUUGACUUUGGGAUAACGUCAGGAAACUGGGGCUAAUACCGGAUAGGAGCUCCUGCUGCAUGGGGGGGGUUGGAAAGUGUCGGCGGUUGGGGAUGGACUCGCGGCUUAUCAGCUUGUUGGUGGGGUAGUGGCUUACCAAGGCUUUGACGGGUAGCCGGCCUGGGAGGGUGACCGGCCACAUUGGGCCUGCGAUACGGCCCAGACUCCUACGGGGGGCAGCAGUGGGGAAUAUUGCACAAUGGGCCGAAGCCUGAUGCAGCAACGCCGCGUGCGGGAUGCCGGCCUUCGGGUUGUAAACCGCUUUCGCCUGUGACGAAGCGUGAGUGACGGUAAUGGGUAAAGAAGCACCGGCUAACUACGUG
rnacentral:rRNA from 1 species